AGAGUUUGAUCCUGGCUCAGAAUGAACGCUAGUGGUUGGCUUAACACAUGCAAGUUGAACUAAUGUUUAGCGAACGGGUGAGUAAUACAUAGAAAUUAACCCUAAAUUGAAUUAGUUUAAUUUAAGAAAAGUCUAUGCAGAAUUAGGUUGUUGGUUCAUAGAAUGUAGAACCAAGCCAGUGAUUCUUAGCUGGUCUGCGAGGAUGAACAGCCACACUGGAACUGAGACACGGUCCAGACUCUUUUAAGAGGCAGCAGUGGGGAAUCUUAGGCAAUGAGCGAAAGCUUGACCUAGCCAAACCACGUGUGUGAUGAAGAUAAUUAUUGUAAAGCACUUUAUUUGGUUUAUAAUUAUGUUAUUAUAUCAAAAAAAAGUCCUGGCUAAUUUCGUGCCAGCAGCCGCGGUAAAACGAAAAGGGCUAGCGUUAUUCGGAUUAACUGGGUGUAAAGGAUGCGUAGGUUGAAAAUCAACUAUUAGUUUAAAAUUAAAGUUUUAUGCUUUAAAUAACUAUUAAAGUAAUUUUCUUGAGUUCAAUGAGAAGACUAUGGAAUUUUGAGUGUAACGGUAAAAUGUGUUGAUAUUCAAAGGAACCUCUAAAGCGAAGGCAAUAGUCUAGAUUGGAACUGACACUGAGGUAUGAAAGCGUGGGUAGCAAAAGGGAUUAGAUACCCCCCUAGUCCACGCCCUCAACGAUGAAUGCUAUUCUUUGGAUUUUCAGAGAAACAACUAACGUAUUAAGCAUUCCACCUGGGAACUACGAUCGCAAGAUUAAAACUCAAAGGAAUUGACGGGGACCUGCACAAGUAGUGGAGCAUGUGGUUUAAAUCGAUAAUACGCGCAAAACCUUACCAAUCUUUGUAUAAUACUGAGUAUUACAGGAGUUGCAUGGCUGUCGUCAGUCCGUGCCGUGAGGCGUUUGGUUUAUUCCAACAAACGGACGAAACUUUUUUACAUUAAAUAAUGUGUACCGCUAAGGAUAUCUUAGAGGAAGGCAAAAACAACGUCAAGUCCUUAUGACCCUUAUAGGUUGGGCUACUUUCAUGUGCUACAAUAAAAUUUUCAAUUAGAAGCCAAAAUGCAAGUUUUAGCAAAACUACAAAAAAUUUUAUUCGGAUUGUUCUCUGCAACUCGAGAACAUGAAGUUGGAAUUACAAGUAAUCGCAAAUAAGAACGUUGCGGUGAAUUAGUUCUCAGGUCUUGUACACACCGCCCGUCACGCUAUGGAAAUUUCUUUUAUCUGAAAAUUAUUCUUAAUUUACGGUAAAAAAUGAACUGAAGUGAAGUCGUAACAAGGUAGCCGU
rnacentral:ncRNA from 1 species